ACUUGGGAUAGCUCAGUCGGUAGAGCAUGAAACUCUUAAUCUCAGGGUUACAAAUUCAAAGCUCCAUGUUGGGCA